GAUGAACGCUGGCGGCGUGCAUAACACAUUCAAGUCGAACGGAAUUUAAGACUUCGGUCUUAAAUUUAGUGGCGGACGGGUGAGUAACGCGUGAGCAAUCUGCCUUUCGGUGAGGAAUAACAGGGAGAAAUCGCUGCUAAUACCUCAUGAUGCAAUCUUAUCGCAUGUUAGGAUUGCCAAAGAUUUAUCGCCGAAAGAUGAGCUCGCGUCCGAUUAGGUAGUUGGUGAGAUAAAAGCCCACCAAGCCGACGAUCGGUAGCCGAACUGAGAGGUUGAAACGCCACAUUGGAAGUGAGAUACGGUCCAGACUCCUACGGGAGGCAGCAGUGGGGAAUAUUGGGCAAUGGGCGCAAGCCUGACCCAGCGACGCCGUGUGAGGGAAGAAGGUCUUCGGAUUGUAAACCUUUGUCAACAGGGACGAAACAAAUGACGGUACCUGUGGAGGAAGCCACGGCUAACUACGUGCCAGCCGCCGCUGUAACAC
rnacentral:rRNA from 1 species